rnacentral:rRNA from 1 species
UGGGGAAUCUUCCGCAAUGGACGAAAGUCUGACGGAGCAACGCCGCGUGAGUGAAGAAGGUUUUCGGAUCGUAAAACUCUGUCUUUUGGGGCGAACGUGAGUAUGGUGAACAAUCAUAGUCAGUGACGGUACCAAAGGAGGAAGCCACGGCUAACUACGUGCCAGCAGCCGCGGUAAUACGUAGGUGGCAAGCGUUGUCCGGAAUUAUUGGGCGUAAAGAGCGCGUAGGCGGGAUAGUCAGUCUGUUGUAAAAGUGCGGGGCUCAACCCCGUGAUGGCAAUGGAAACAGCUAUUCUUGAGUGCAGGAGAGGAAAGUGGAAUUCCCAGUGUAGCGGUGAAAUGCGUAGAUAUUGGGAGGAACACCAGUGGCGAAGGCGACUUUCUGAACUGUGUCUGACGCUGAGGCGCGAAAGCCAGGGGAGCGAACGGGAUUAGAUACCCCGGUAGUCCUGGCCGUAAACGAUGGGUACUAGGUGUGGGGGGUAUCGACCCCUUCCGUGCCGGAGUUAACGCAAUAAGUACCCCGCCUGGGGAGUACGGUCGCAAGACUGAAACUCAAAUGAAUUGACGGGGUCAUAGCUGUUU